rnacentral:rRNA from 1 species
GAUGAACGCUGGCGGCGUGCCUAAUACAUGCAAGUCGAGCGAACAGAUGAGGAGCUUGCUCCUCUGACGUUAGCGGCGGACGGGUGAGUAACACGUGGAUAACCUACCUAUAAGACUGGGAUAACUUCGGGAAACCGGAGCUAAUACCGGAUAAUAUAUUGAACCGCAUGGUUCAAUAGUGAAAGACGGUUUUGCUGUCACUUAUAGAUGGAUCCGCGCCGCAUUAGCUAGUUGGUAAGGUAACGGCUUACCAAGGCAACGAUGCGUAGCCGACCUGAGAGGGUGAUCGGCCACACUGGAACUGAGACACGGUCCAGACUCCGACGGGAGGCAGCAGUAGGGAAUCUUCCGCAAUGGGCGAAAGCCUGACGGAGCAACGCCGCGUGAGUGAUGAAGGUCUGCGGAUCGUAAAACGCUGUUAUUAGGGAAGAACAAAUGUGUAAGUAACGAUGCACGUCUGGACGGUACCUAAGCAGAAAGCCACGGCUAACUACGU